rnacentral:rRNA from 1 species
UGGGGAAUAUUGGACAAUGGGGGGAACCCUGAUCCAGCGACGCCGCGUGAGUGAAGAAGUAAUUUGGUAUGUAAAGCCCUAUCAGCAGGGAAGAAAGAAAAGCCGGUACCUGACUAAGAAGCCCCGGCUAACUACGUUCCAGCAGCCGCGGUAAUACGUAGGGGGCAAGCGUUAUCCGGAUUUACUGGGUGUAAAGGGAGCGUAGACGGUAGUGCAAGUCUGAAGUGAAAGGCGGGGGCCCAACCCCCGAACUGCUUUGGAAACUGUGCAGCUGGAGUGCAGGAGAGGUAAGUGGAAUUCCUAGUGUAGCGGUGAAAUGCGUAGAUAUUAGGAGGAACACCAGUGGCGAAGGCGGCUUACUGGACUGUAACUGACGUUGAGGCUCGAAAGCGUGGGGAGCAAACAGG